CUCUGUUCUUUUGUCAGAUAACCAAUUCGUGCAUCGGCUCCAUCACAAUCAAUUUGCAAUUGGCUUUGGAAGUAAAAGCACUGUGCUCUCCAGCUCCCUCCCCCCCCCUCCUCUCUCUCUCUCUCUCUCUCAUCAUCGCCGCGAGCUGAGGUUUUGGAGCCAUCGGACGGAGGAGAAUGGAGAACGCCGACGUGUUCUUAGGACUGCACGACUUUCUGGAACGCAUGCGUCAACCGUCGGCCGCUGAUUUCGUCAAGUCCAUAAAAAGUUUCAUAGUGUCGUUUACGAACAAUGCUCCUGAUCCUGAGGGGGACAGCGCUGCAGUGCAGGACUUCUUUGCCCGGAUGGAAAUUGAUUUCAGGGCUCAUCCACUUUGGGCGGGCUGUUCAGAGGAGGAGCUCGACAGUGCCGGCGAAGGACUGGAGAAGUAUGUUAUGACGAAGUUGUUUCCUCGCGUAUUUGCUUCGCUUCCAGAUGAUGUAAAACUUGAUGAGCAACUGUAUGAGAAGAUGGCUUUAGUACAACAGUUUAUUCGGCCGGAAAAUUUGGAUAUCAAGCCCACCUUUCAAAAUGAGACUUCAUGGCUGCUUGCACAAAAAGAACUGCAAAAGAUCAAUAUGUAUAAGGCACCGAGGGAUAAGCUUGUGUGUAUCCUCAAUUGUUGCAAGGUUAUCAAUAACUUGCUGAUGAAUGCUUCUGUUGCUUCCAAUGAGAAUCCCCCUGGAGCUGAUGAAUUUCUUCCAGUCCUAAUUUAUGUUACUUUAAAGGCAAACCCUCCACAACUGCACUCAAAUUUAUUGUAUAUACAAAGAUACAGGCGACAAUCUCGAUUAGUUGGUGAAGCAUCCUAUUUUUUCACAAAUAUGCUCUCUGUUGAGUCCUUCAUCUCAAAUAUAGAUGCUAUUUCACUGGAUGAAUCUGAGUACGACAAGAACAUGGAAACUGCUCGAGCACUUCUUUCAGGACUUUCAACUGAUUUGGAUGGUCAGUAUACUCAAAGCAGUCCAUUUGCAGGAUAUGUACAUAGAUCAGAAUCUAUGGAAACCAGACAUCAACCUCCAAAUGCCAACAAGGACCCAGCAGCACAGUCCAAAUCUUCAGAAACAAAAUCCCGAGGGAAGAAGAUACCCAAUGCAAAGGAUAACUCACCCUAUUCAAAAAUUCCAUCUCUUUCAGAUUUGGAGAAUAAGGGUGCAGCUGUCCUUGUAAACAACGAUCAGGCGGGCCAGGUUUUCCAGGAAUAUCCAUACUUGUUUGUGAAUGUUGGGGACCUAACCAUCAAUGAUGUAGAGGACCUUCUUAAUAAUUACAAGCAACUUGCAUUCAAAUAUGUUUGUCUUUCCAAAGGGUUAGGCGUUACUGCUCCAUCUCUUCCUUACAAUUUGCAUACAGAGUUCCACCAGCAUACUGAAACGGCAAAGCAACAGGAACGCUCUAGAGCUGUAGAGCAGAAUGAUGAGACGUCAGAUGACACUGAUAAGAAGGAUGAUGGAUUAAAGGAGCCCUUUAUUGAUGUCGAAAACUUGGAAUCUAGAUUGUCACAGGAUCGAGCCGCUGCACCACAGAGUGGUUCACAUGAGGAGUCCUCUCAGUAGCAGCUGUACCAGCACAUGUAUUUUGCUGGAGUAUGUUGAAUUUCCAAUGCAAUCGCCACCAUCAGGGAUCCAUUUCUCCUUUUUCCUAUUGCAGAUGGAAUAUCGUCUUGGUUGGCAAUGAGCUCUAUCAUUGUCCAUUCUCACCACAUAAUUGUCAAUAUUCUAGGUAGAAACGAGGGGCUACAAAUUUGUUUGGGAAUGCAUCAAAUUGCAUUUAUAUGAAGAUGGAAAAAUGUACAACUCUCAGCAGACCCAGGUGCAACAGUGUAUGCUUGGAGGCACUCGUAAUCUCACACACGUAGCAGUAGAAUGAUCCUGGGCCACAGGCAUGCUGGAGACAAUCAAAUGUGAUUUUCACCGUAGUUGCACCAUUCUAUCCCUCAUUAACGAGCAUAAAUUUGGUUUGCAGGAUGACUUGAUGCAUGUGGGGCCAACCACACGUCGAACAGCUAGGAGCUGGCGUGCGCAUAGGCGAUUGAUCGUAGCAAAUGUAAUCAAUACUCUGAAUCGAAAAUGAAGUUUGAAUUAGGGUGUACGCAAUCAUCUCUGGAUGGGAUGCUAUGCUAUGCUGUAGGUUUGACAUUUUCAUAAUUGCAUUGCUAUGUCACUUGGUAGCGGGGAUGACUCUACUCUCUUCUUUCCCCACCUGCCCUCCGGCCCCCUAUUGAAACCAAACCAACAGCAAUUAGGAAGUUGAGAACAUGGAUUGGAUUUUCUGAGGUAAGAUGUAAUCUAGUCAUAUUUUUCA